ACAUGCAAGUCGAGCGAAUGGAUUGAGAGCUUGCUCUCAAGAAGUUAGCGGCGGACGGGUGAGUAACACGUGGGUAACCUGCCCAUAAGACUGGGAUAACUCCGGGAAACCGGGGCUAAUACCGGAUAACAUUUUGAACUGCAUGGUUCGAAAUUGAAAGGCGGCUUCGGCUGUCACUUAUGGAUGGACCCGCGUCGCAUUAGCUAGUUGGUGAGGUAACGGCUCACCAAGGCAACGAUGCGUAGCCGACCUGAGAGGGUGAUCGGCCACACUGGGACUGAGACACGGCCCAGACUCCUACGGGAGGCAGCAGUAGGGAAUCUUCCGCAAUGGACGAAAGUCUGACGGAGCAACGCCGCGUGAGUGAUGAAGGCUUUCGGGUCGUAAAACUCUGUUGUUAGGGAAGAACAAGUGCUAGUUGAAUAAGCUGGCACCUUGACGGUACCUAACCAGAAAGCCACGGCUAACUACGUGCCAGCAGCCGCGGUAAUACGUAGGUGGCAAGCGUUAUCCGGAAUUAUUGGGCGUAAAGCGCGCGCAGGUGGUUUCUUAAGUCUGAUGUGAAAGCCCACGGCUCAACCGUGGAGGGUCAUUGGAAACUGGGAGACUUGAGUGCAGAAGAGGAAAGUGGAAUUCCAUGUGUAGCGGU
rnacentral:rRNA from 2 species